rnacentral:tRNA from 1 species
CGGGGUGUAGCUCAGUUGGAAGAGUGCUCGCUUCGGGUGCGAGAGGUCGCCAGUUCGAGUCUGGCCACCCCGA